GUUGUCGUCAUCAUGAGUUUGUUUUUGCCAUUUAUCGCGGCUGCUCAUCGUUCGGUUGUUAGGACUGGCAAUGGGCGGAAUGGGGGGAAUCGUCUAAAAUUAGAAGAGCGCCCAAAAAUAGAUCGGCCAUCUGCUAUGUGUGUGACGUCAGGUGCGGAAGAGUUGCGGUCAGGUGCUACGGUGCCCCCCAUAUCCAAUGUAAACACAAUUUCUGGAAUGCUUGAAUGCUAACCAUCAAAAUGGAUUGUUUGUUCCCUCGCUUUUCGAUCGGUUUCUCCCGGUUCUGCUGUGUUCCCUUAUCGCACCUCUGCUUCGUCGGCAAAUGUCAACCUUUUGCACUGAACAUUUCUGGUAUUCGUUUCAGCAAACUAAGGGUGACUGGUCAGUCUCUUGACGAGAGUCUGGAGUGCAAGCUGAGUGCUCGGAUCUCAAGCGGAUCAUCGGGCAAUCGGAACACAACACUGCUGUGGCUGACGACUGCAAGAUGCCCACUAAUGUUCGCUGUAAAUGAGUAAUUGAAGAGUUCAUUAACUAAUGACUGUGGCAUUCAUUAGCCAAGGAAAUUGCUCUGCAAAGAAAACAACGCUUAACUCGAGUCAUGCACACGACAUGUUCUAUUUUAUUUCUCAUCCACUUUUCGCCUGUGCAUUUGACCGGCUUUGAGCAAAGGCAGCCAGGGCCAUAUACUCUCAGAGAAAAAUGGCAUAGCAACCAGAAACACAUUCAUAUAUAACUUAAAUAUUCGGUUGUUCAAUAUACAAACAUAGUGAAAUUAUAAAUAAUUCACUUUUAUGUAUAUAAAAUACUUGAAAAUAAAUAUAAUAUAUUAAAUUUGCAGGAAAUGGGCUUUUCCUCUGGGUGCCCAUUUGAUUCGAAGUCGAAACGGAUUAUAGAUGAGAUGAAUGCCAGAGGAAAUAUAUAGUGGCACUCAUCCCCGGGUACGGUACAUUGGGCCAUUCAGAAAUUCCCAUUGGGCGAGUCCCAGCAGCUGAUUCAUGCCAUGCCGGAGCCCAGAGCCAAUUCCGUAUCCGAAUCAAAGCACACACACACACACAUGCAAUCGAUCGCCCACACCACACCGAUCGGUGACUACGUUGUGGCACCCCCACAACAAUGGCAACAACAAGUAGGCGUCCUUCGACCAUGCCAAAUUCCAAAAUUCUUGCGUCGUUCGUCGGUCGUCGACAUCGACGUCAUUUCGCCCGCCAUCCUCUGCCUCUGCCUUUGCCUCUGCCCCUCUCCACUCCGGUCCGCACUGCUCCGGGCUAUACGUAAAUAUUUACACAUGUCUUACAAGAGCUGGCAAUUUUUCGCUGUCGGAUAUAGCGUCGUGGGAGGAGUGUGUAUGUGUACGGAUUGCGAUUUAAAUGGAUUUGUCUCAUUGCAUUCAUUGCUCCCGAUUCGAUACGAAACGGUCCAAUCCAAUCCGAUCCGAUCCGACAGUUCAAUGAAGUGGCCGGAGGAAGGAGAAUCCGUAUGUUAUACGAAUCAGGAAUGCAGAUCUUUAUAGAUUGAUCAAGGGAACGUACAUAUGUACAUACGAGUGGAUCCUUUUGGCGGGGAGUGCAAUCAGCGCCAGUGCCAGUGCCAGCGCCAGCGCCAGCUGCCUUCGAAUCUUCAGUUUGGAGAGCACGACAUCAUAACAAUAAAAAAAUACUAACAAUUUGGCAGCGGCGUACAAUUUGCGUCAACAGCACUUGCCUCUCAGGCCCCUAGUAUAUAUAUAGAUGGCAAAUAGAAUAUAUAGAUUUAUCCAUAUAUGUACAUAUAUAAAUACUUUUGUACAUACA